AGAGGGUGCGAGCGUUAAUCGGAAUUACUGGGCGUAAAGGGCGCGUAGGUGGUGACGUAGGUUACAGGUGAAAGCCCCGGGCUUAACCCGGGAAGUGCCUGUAAAACGGCGUGACUGGAGUACAGUAGAGGGAAGUGGAAUUUCCGGAGUAGCGGUGAAAUGCGUAGAUACCGGAAGGAACACCAGUGGCGAAGGCGACUUUCUGGACUGAUACUGACACUGAGGCGCGAAAGCGUGGGUAGCGAACAGGAUUAGAUACCCUGGUAGUCCACGCUGUAAACGAUGAGAACUAGCCGUUGGAAGCGGAAACGUUUCAAGUGGCGCAGCUAACGCGAUAAGUUCUCCGCCUGGGGAGUACGGCCGCAAGGCUA
rnacentral:rRNA from 1 species